CGAACCGUGCUUGGUUGGGGAUUCGCAUCCGCGCACGCUGGCCUGCACCCGUGAGGCUGUGCGCGAAGCGUUGACGGGGGAGCAUGCAGGCCAGCCAUGGAACCGCGGAACAGAUCUUAUCCCGGGUGCCGACGCACCUAUCCAGCGGAAGGCAAUACGGAAGGGUGCAACAUCGCAAGUGCCUGCCCGACCGGCGUGGUCGUAGACAC
rfam:Mesorhizobium sp. SOD10 genome assembly, contig: MPLSOD_Contig_41